UACGGGGGGAGCAAGCGUUGUUCGGAUUUACUGGGCGUAAAGGGCGCGUAGGCGGCCACCGAAAGUCGACUGUGAAAUCUCCGGGCUUAACUCGGAAAGGUCAGCCGAUACUGCGGGGCUAGAGUGCAGAAGGGGCAACUGGAAUUCUCGGUGUAGCGGUGAAAUGCGUAGAUAUCGAGAGGAACACCUGCGGCGAAGGCGGGUUGCUGGGCUGACACUGACGCUGAAGCGCGAAAGCUAGGGGAGCGAACGGG
rnacentral:rRNA from 1 species